ACACCAUCCUUCCUAACCCUUUGCAGAACUACUUCAGCACCUAAGUCUGGCAGAAGAUCACUCCUCCGCCCUGGCCACUGAUUAAAAAGCCAAAACAAAACCAGACACCCAUUUCUGCCAGCUUGAAUCUGCUUCACAGAGGACCUUAUGAAGGCUGUGCAAGGGAGGACAUAGAACUGUGAAGGUUUUUCAAUACAGUGUCCACACUGGCUUCAUAUGUGAUAAGGAGACAAGCAAACAGUGGAGAACAGCAGUAGAUAUGAUGCAGAUAAGCAAGAAAGAAAAAUUAAGGACAAAAAGAUGGAGCAGUUUCUAAAAAAACAGAUGGUACACUUGGAAAUAAUACCAUAAAGGCACAUUAUUUUAAACAACUAUUGAUUACACCCUGGGGAUUUGCACCAGUUCCACUCGAUACUGCUUUUAAAAUGACUUUUAUGGAGUCUACUCGAGCGCUGAUCUUUGCAUGGAAAUCACAGAAAAUUCCAAGAAAUGGAAGCCGCUGCUAGUAAAAGAAGAAAAGCUGAGUAUCA
rnacentral:lncRNA from 1 species